GCCGGUCCACGGCGUCGCCAUCAACGCCGGCGCUGUGCCUGCACCUCCGGUUGGUCCUCCCCGACCCCGCCCAAACUUUCGCGCACUGCAUCGCCUCCUGGUCGCUGUCCAGGCGUCGCCAUCGACUGGAGGAGCGCGGGACCGUCGUCCUCGCGUUCGUGCACCUCCAGAAAGAAGACUGCUCGAGGUGAGACGCCUCGGAUCCGUCGUGCGAAGGUGGAGGUGAGUGCCCUCUCCACUUCCACCAUUUCCCCCCUCUCUCUCUGUUUUGAUCCCUUUUUUUCUGCAGCUUGACAUAUAGGUUAGUGUAUGUGUGUGUGCAGCAGCUCCAGAGGGACGAACGUCAAGGUAGCCACUGCUCCGUAGGUAUGAAUCGGUUCCCUAGCCUCUUAUGAGCCCUACUUUUCAACGAGCAAGGUUGGCUGCUAAGUUUAUGUUAUUUGAUGCCUCUGGUUCUUUCAUGUAUGUAAGAGAUACUAUUUAGUUGUCUGCAUUUAUCUUAUUCGGUUCAGUUUGGUGUGCUUAUCAAUGGGUUGAUUCAAGAUAAUUUGUGAUUCUGCUAUCUAAUUGAUUGGUAUAUAUAUGUUUUUUUUAAUAUGAAUCACUUUAUGCAGAAGAUCUGAGUUCAGAAAGAUUGCAUGACACCACAUACAUUUGAUAUUUUUUUUAUCAUGGCAUGGGUUUGGUGUGACUGAUUCCAUUAACCGUGUUGCAGCUGGUCUGGGAUAUGAGUACAGCCCUUGAUUCGUGCCGCCUGUUUUCUCUGCCGAAGUCUUGGUUGCGUGGAUGUGGCAAUGGUCGAAGGGUCGUCACCAGGGUGGCACCGGCGCCUCCCUUCCCUCUCCCCUGGAGCUGGAAGGUACCGUCUCGGGCUUCCCAGAUCUGUUGGAUCAAAAAUUGUGGGUGAUGGGAUCAAAAUUUGUUGGAUCAGAAAUUGCGGUUGAUGGAAUCAAAACUUGGAUGUGAUCAAAUUAGGUAUUGCUUGAGCUGAAAGUUG
rnacentral:lncRNA from 1 species